UGUUAACAUAGUGGUGUAUCACUCACUUGACAGCAAACUACGACGCAGUUUAAAUAAAUGUGUGAAUAUUUCGUGCUUUUCACAACAACUGAUUUCUUGAUUCAAAUAAAAGUAUUUGGAGAAAAAAUAAUUGAUUAAAGUCUAUUUCUAGGUGCUCGACUCAUAUCAAGAUAUCACGUAUUUUACAGUUAUAGUACAUAUCGACGAUACUGUUAAGUGAAAGCAUCAAGUUGCACGUGGCUCAAAUACAAUGUCAGACGAUCCUAUUAGGAAAAUGUGUCCUCCAGAAGAGGAAUUGGUUCUCCGAAUGAAUGCCAUGUUCGGCAAAGGCGAUUACGAUCUUUUGUUCAACAAUUGCCAACAUUUUUGUACAAAACUGAGAUAUGGUAUUGCCUUUAGCAGACAGGCUGAACUGUUAACAAAAGGAACUUUCUUAACACCCGCAGGACACGAUUUUACAAUCAAAAAGUAGUGUUUUUAGUGUUAUUAUAAACAAAUAUGAAUAUAAAGACAGACUUAAUUUGGCUGACAAAAGAAAAGCUUCAAAAAACAAGGAUCUUAUUGUUAUGGCUUGCAGUAAAACCACAAUUAAUAAUACAAGCAAAUUUGAAAAACAAGCACAAAAUACAGUACUUUUUUUCAAUACUGGUUUAAAUGUCGUUUUUUUAAUAAUACAUCUGUAGGAACGCAAAUGUUACGACCAAUAGCAAACAUCUUUAAAUGCCAACCACACAAUGUAGUGCUCAUUCCGAAUACUGGCUAAAAGUUCUUUUUAUUUAAUACACCUACAGAAGUUAAAAUUUCACAAUAAAAUACAAGCAGCUUCGAAUGCCAGCAAAACAAUGCUCUAUCUUUACUCAAUACUGGCUUCUUUAACAAUUUAAUUGAUACAUCUGUAGAAGCCCAAAUGCCACCAACAAUAACAAGCAGCUUUGAAAACAGUCACUAAAUACCGAAUUGACUUCAAUCCUUAUACAUUUACACACACUCAAAUGCCACAGACUAUAACAAGCAACUGCCUUAAAAACCAGCCACAAAUCCACAUUUAUUUAAUACUGACAUGUGUGCCGAUUCUUUUGAUAAACAUGUAAAAACUCAAAUGCCGCGAACAAUAACAAGCAGCCUUGACAACCAGCCACAAUACGCACAACAUUUAUUAAACCCGAUACAUCUGCAAAAUCUCAAAUGCCGCGGACACUCACAAGCUGCUGCUUUGAAAAACAGUCCAUAUUUGCACAAUUAAUUAUUAUCCAAAUUGAAUUUAUAUGACAUGCAUACAAAAUUAUUUGUUUCAUCUGAAACUCAUACGGCAAAUUUGCACAAAAUUCCUGCAGAAUCUUUAGAAAACCAAAUGCCGCGUAAAAUAACAGACAAGCCUGCAUCAAAAUGCAUAACCUUUACUCAAUACUGGAUACAAUCUGAUUUCUUCAAUACAUCUGUAGAAACUUAAAUACCGCGAACAAUAACAAGCAGCUGUAAAAACCAUCUACAAAAUACACAACAUCUCCAAUACCUGCGGUUUCUAUCUCUAUCUAGCUGAUACAUCUGUAAAAACUUAAAUUACUGUUGAUUGAAAGUAGAGUAAUCAUGGAAAAUACUUUACAGAGGCAUAUUCUACAUUUUUGCAACCAACGUUAUUAUCCCUCCCUUUAAAUAUUGUUGAUACAGUUUUGUAUAUUGCUAGUUAAUCAAAGUAUUAUGCUAUACACACUGGCUCGUGCUUCUGCAGAUGUUAAUGCACGAGAAUAGUAGCAUAAACCCUAUACUGUAUUCGGUUAUCCGCAUAUAGGAUAAAUAGAUCACAAACUCACACAAUUUAUCAAACAUGUUUCACUUAAAUAAGCUUCAUUAGUUGAUAUGAUAAAUAAGAAAUGAAAUGACGUAAACGUUUCAAACAAACGUCUACGUUAACAAACGCCACAUUAGUUGUGUAAAAGAAACAUUGUGAAAUUAUAUCAAUUACCUAUUUCUGUUUCAUACAAUAAAAUAAAUACAUUUGAGUAUGUAUACAAGUAUAUAUAGACGUAAUUAUCAAUCACACUCUAAAAUUGUAUUAAUGGGGUAUACUAAUGGUCAAAUCAUCACUUUCCUUUAGUAUAUUGUAUAAAUUUAAUAAAAGAAGUUGAAUAUGAUCUAUCUAUUAUCUAUUCAACUUAGGGCUUAUUGUGUUGAUAAUUAAUUCACGUUACAGAAAAAAAAAAUCAAUGACCAUAUGAGUACAUGACGAAUAUGUCCUGUAUAAAUGAAAACAUCAUAAAACAUGCGUUCAUAAAGAGAGGUUAUUAAAUUUUUAAAUCAUUGACAUUAAUAAUGCAUUUGUAUCAAUUACAAAAAUAAUAACAUAACAUAUGUUUUAUUAGUCUUAAGCACAUUAACAGCUCAUCGACAUUUACAUAUAAUAUGACACGUAUUUGCAGCAUGCGUAAUAAUUAUAAUCUUAUUUACAGACAUUGAAAAAACACAUACAUUAUACACAAAGUACAACGGCUACACACAAUAAUAAACAUCGAGAAUGCAUAUACUUUUUACAUUUUUACUUUGUAUCAAUUACAAAAAAAUAAUAUACAAUCAUAGAUUCAAUAAAUGGUCAUAAAUUUGAAAAGUCAUUUAAUACCGAUAUGUACUGUCAAUGAUAUGAAUGCGUUUGUAAAGAGAUUUUAGUAUAUAUAUACCUGGAAAAUGAUUCUAAAAUUCAUAGAGUACUUUUGCAUAGUACUUUUGCAUGAAAAUCUUUUGGACAAAAUGAUUCCAAUUUUUAGAUCCAAUAUGUCCCUUUCAAUAUUCUCCCCAUAGUAUCGUAACUUUAUCUAUUGACACGCUUAUAUAAAUAUAAUAGUUCAUCUUAAAUGUGUCAAUAUUUAAUAAUAAUUAUUAUGUAAUUCAAUUACAUCAUAGAUAUUAAAUAUUACACAUAAACCAAGAAACUCAUACUCAAGCAUUAAAGCACUAUCGAACAUCAACAAUGUCUCAAAAUCAAAAGGUAAUACAUACUCUUUUAUGUAAACAGAAAACUUGUUCUGUUCAUUACAUUUGCAUGAUAUGUAAGCCUAUUUUAUCCGAAUAUAUUUAAGCAAAGUAAAUCUUAUAUCUUUUACGGGUUAACAAAUAAGGCUAUAUAAAAUUGAACAAAGGUAGUGUUUAAUUUGCAAUAAAAAGGUUUUAAAUUGAAAACACAAUUUCCUUUCAAAUGUAUUUGGUAUGAAAUUGCAUGAUCAAACUUAACGACAACUGAUAUAUCGCAAUCAUUGAUGUGAAUUUUAAUUUAUUCAUAUCAUGUACAGUUAUAUAACAUCACAACUACAGAACAUUAGAGUAUUGUCAUUUCAAAUGAUGUUUUGUUUCACAUUUCACACUAUUUAAUUGAACGUCGUAAAAACAUCGUGUGCUAAUUCAUAGCUUUUUUUUUACAUUAGUAACUAGUAUUUGUUUUGCUUAGAAAGUUUUUAAUUGUUUUAAGAUAUAUCGGAUUUUAAUGUUUCUGUUUUUCCUUUAAGCUAAGACUAAAACUAAAACAAAUAUUUGAUAAAAACAUCUACGUUUUUUGUUCUCCAGAGCAAACACGUGCUUUAUUUGAUCGCUUACAGGUCUUCUGUCGAGCGUCUUGUUUUCUGUUGUUGUUUUUUUGUGGAUUGGUAAACUUUUUAAACUCAGUCUUUUUUAUUUUAAAUUUUGACAUUAUGUCACAGAAAUUAUCGUCUUGUGGUUUUCAGUUUUGUCUUUUAAUUUGAUAAAAUCUUGGUCCCUUGGUGGGGAACGAGAUAAACAAUCCUUUUACAUAUAAUAUUGCUGUUUUCUGUUCUUAAAAGGUAUAUUGUUUGAAAAAGUAAUGCCACUAAAGAUCUAAAGAUAUAUUGGUCAAACUUUGAUAAUGUUUACACGGAAUAAUUCAUAGUUAUUGUUUGAAGUUGUUUUGAAUUGAUGAAGAAUUGUGUUAUGUCCUAUUUAAAAAAUGAAUAUAGGAACACUUCUUAAAGAACGUGUGUGUUUGAAUUUGAUAUUAUUUUAUAGAAAUAUGUCACAUACAUGUUGAUUAGUGAAAAACAUGGCCAGUAGGAGACCAUGUCACUUUGUUUUGUAUUUACAGCAAUCAACGAUUUUGUUUUUGAUAAAUGCAUUAUGUGUUCGUCAUCUUAAGAUGUAUUGAAAUAAAACUAAUAUUCAAAAGACUUACUUGCAAGACAAUAGGAUGAUUUUGUGCUUGCCUUGUAUUUUAAAGUGAAAACGUAGCAAAUAUUCAUAGAAAAAACGGCAUCCCGAAUGAACUUCCAAAACGACAAACUAUCAUUUUGUAUUGUAUUGCGUAUCUAAAAUGACCUUAACAUUUUCUAAAUGGUUAGAACACAUAGACACAAAAAACAUUUUCUUAGAACUAUUACUCAGAAUUUGAAUAAUUUUGAGUAACUAACUUUUGUAUUUUUUCAUCAACUAAGUCUAGGCAUACGUAUUUGAUUUAUCAACUUAAAGCUUGACAGAGUGAUAGAAAGAAAAUGUAGGGGAAGUAAGAUCUUCAAGAACAAUUACCAUCUUUUGUUUAAUUUUGGAGUUAUAGUCCUUUGUAAUAUUUCAUACUUACAUGUCCUUUUUGUCUAAAUGUGUUGGAUAUAUCAACUUGAAAUUUAACAACUUUGUUUGUCUUAAUAGAGAUAAGCAAACUGUUAAAGAAUAUAUACACGUUUGUAAUUAUUACCUUUUGUUGACCAUGCCUCAGAUUACAUCACUUGUCUCUUUGUAAGUAUUUUAAUCUAUCAUACUUAUUGAGAUGUAAUAUUUAUAGAUGUCAAAAAUAUGUUAAUGUCUGUAUAUCUCUAAAAAUAUCCUAUUGUUUUACACAGCUCUCUUUGUUUGUAUCACAAAAGCGCCCUGGGGUUCUUAAUAUUCAGAAGCUUAAAUCAAGAAAUUUGUAUCAUUCGUUGAUGGGCAUAUCAAUUUAACGACUUUACCUAUUUCUAUAUAUGUGUUGUUUUAUUUUAUUUUACUUUUAAAACCCCAAUUUUCUAAUUCUUUUACCCAUGAUAUCAGUUUUGUUUGGUUAUCAUUUGUUUAUAGAAUUUUAUAUGCACUGAAGUUGUUUUACACGUGGAAAGCUUAAAAUUGUUAUCAUUUUAACAAAUGCUAAUGUAACA